rnacentral:rRNA from 1 species
UACGGAGGAUGCAAGCGUUAUCCGGAAUGAUUGGGCGUAAAGCGUCCGCAGGUGGCUGUGUAAGUCUGCUGUCAAAGAGCAAAGCUCAACUUUGUAAAGGCAGUGGAAACUACACGGCUAGAGUGCGUUCGGGGCAGAGGGAAUUCCUGGUGUAGCGGUGAAAUGCGUAGAGAUCAGGAAGAACACCGGUGGCGAAGGCGCUCUGCUAGGCCGCAACUGACACUGAGGGACGAAAGCUAGGGUAGCAAACGGG